GAUUUGUCCUGUGUGUGAUGAAAAAUUUGGAGAGAAUGAAAUUAGAACAGUUCAUAAUACAAGUUAUCCAAUCUUGCGAAAGAAACAUGGUGUCUCGAAUGUUGCUUGGGAAAUACCUCAUGACAAGAAAGUUUCUUCUUGGGAUAAUGAUUUUCUCUUGGUUUCGGAUGAAGAAGAUACAAUCAGUAAUGCCUCGGACAUUACUGAUACAAAAGACAUCUUCAUUGAAAAAAGCUCUGAGGGGGUAGAUGCAUCAGAUAUCGAUGAUGAACAGGACAUUCAAGAGAGAAGUAACAAGGCUGGAUUUUCUCAAGAGUUGCUUAUGUCAACUAUAUUCUUAGAAUAAUUGAAUAGAUAGUCAUC